UGGGGAAUCUUGCGCAAUGGACGAAAGUCUGACGCAGCCACGCCGCGUGAGUGAAGAAGGCCUUCGGGUUGUAAAGCUCUGUCGGAAGGGACAAAAACCCUUUAGGUUAAUAGCCUAGAGGCUUGAUGGUACCUUCAAAGGAAGCACCGGCUAACUUCGUGCCAGCAGCCGCGGUAAUACGAAGGGUGCAAGCGUUGCUCGGAAUUAUUGGGCGUAAAGGGUAGGUAGGUGGUUACGUAUGUCUGAGGUGAAAGCCCCGAGCUUAACUUGGGAAGUGCCUUGGAAACGGCGUAACUAGAGUAUUGGAGAGGUUCGUGGAAUUCCCGGUGUAGCGGUGAAAUGCGUAGAGAUCGGGAGGAACAUCAGAGGCGAAGGCGACGAACUGGACAAUUACUGACAC
rnacentral:rRNA from 1 species